CUCUUCGAAGUUUCUUGCCUUGUCCUGGAUCUAUUAAAUGUGGUAAUUUAUAUUAAAUUCUAAUAAAUAACGAUACAUAUUGCCAUUUCCAAAUAACUAUCAAAAGAGGAGUAGAGGAAUGUAUUACUAACAAGGAAGCAGUAUUAUAAGAAGCAAGGAAUAAUAAGAAAUAUCUAAUUAAUCAAAGUGAAUGCAAAAAGGAGAGAAAAAGAAAUGUAAAAUAGGUGGGACAAAUAAUAAGAUUGUAGACGUAAACCCAAAUGUAUCAAUAAUUGUAUUAAGUAUAAAUUGAGGGGGCCAGCCCCCUGGCCGAGCGGUUAAGUUCGCGUGCUCCACUUCGGCGGCCCAGGGUUUCGCCGGUUUGGAUCCUGGGCGCGGACAUGGAACCGUUCGUCGGGCCAUGCUGAGGCAGUGUCCCACAUAGCUCAACCAGAGGCACUAAAAUAUUUUUGUAUAUUGUUAUGUCUAACCCUCACAAUAUUCCUAUAGACAGCUAUUAAUAUUUACACCCAUUAUACUGAUGUGGAAACUUAUGUUUUAAAGAGAUAAUAACCUGCCCAAACAUACACAGGUAGUAAGUGGAAUGGUUAGAAUUUGGAUUCAACUCUGACCCACUUCAAAAACGUCUGUCCUAAAAUUCUUCCUAAAAACCAUUUCUUUUCCUUCCAAAAAGAAUACAUUUACUACUCCUUAACAAAGUGAGCCUGACCAUCUUUACCCCCUUAGCAGUGUUUUGCUCAAAUAUUUCUCUCCUGGGCAGAAUACAUUUCUCAUUAAAAUAUGGUCCCUAGUUUCUCCUUGCUGCCUGAACAAAGUUCCUGAGUGGGUUUUUUUCUUUUUUAAUGUUCCUUUUUCCUAUAAUAAAAAAAAAGGUCUUUCAGGCAUCGAAACAUCCAAUCUUCCCUUAGCUCCUGCCCUUAGUCAAAGGCCACACCACUCCUAUUAGAGAGACCGAAGCUGCUGGAGAUGCAUUUUAAUAGUAUUUUUGUAGAAAUAUUGUAGUUUUUUUCCAACACUCAGACUUAAGAAGAAUGUGAGAAAAUGGCACGUG
rnacentral:lncRNA from 1 species